UUACCGAGUUUACAACUCCCAAACCCCUGUGAACAUACCUUAUGUUGCCUCGGCGGAUCAGCCCGCGCCCCGUAAAAAGGGACGGCCCGCCGCAGGAACCCUAAACUCUGUUUUUAGUGGAACUUCUGAGUAUAAAAAACAAAUAAAUCAAAACUUUCAACAACGGAUCUCUUGGUUCUGGCAUCGAUGAAGAACGCAGCAAAAUGCGAUAAGUAAUGUGAAUUGCAGAAUUCAGUGAAUCAUCGAAUCUUUGAACGCACAUUGCGCCCGCCAGUAUUCUGGCGGGCAUGCCUGUUCGAGCGUCAUUUCAACCCUCAAGCUCAGCUUGGUGUUGGGAGCUGCAGUCCUGCUGCACUCCCCAAAUACAUUGGCGGUCACGUCGAGCUUCCAUAGCGUAGUAAUUUACACAUCGUUACUGGUAAUCGUCGCGGCCACGCCGUUAAACCCCAACUUCUGAAUGUUGACCUCGGAUCAGGUAGGAAUACCCGCUGAACUUAAGCA
rnacentral:rRNA from 1 species